GACGUGGACCCCAAUUUUUGUAGAACUCCUUAAGCUCCUCCUCCUGCGAGCACUAGAAAUAAUUUUCCGUCCACAAUAGGCGUCAAAAUCGCAUAGAAAUCGCGCGAGUAAUAUCUCAGUCUCCCUCAAAACCAUUCGAUUAAAUUCCAUCCUAUCAAGUAUCAACUACUUGUAGGGUUUUAUCAUCUCUCUUUUUUUCUUUCCUUCCCCGCUCGAAUGCUAUGUGGACAUUGGGCGAUUCCCUCUCCCGAGUUACGGCAAUGAUUAGGGCAAUCUCUUCACGAUUCUCGAUGCCACCGAUCCGAACGGAGCAGAUGCAUUGAUCCAACUCCUCUCUGUAAUCAUAUCUGAAGGAUGCUUUGCUCAAGGGAGUUUUUCUUGACAGUGAGGCAUUCAGCUCCCUGGUUUCCUCUUUUAAUGUGGGCUCCUCGGAUCGAAAAGAAUUAGAAACAGCUCAAUACUGACAUAUGCAUUUUAGACAUAUACGGUCAUAAUUCUUCUAGUAAUCUGAGUCUGACUUAUGCCUAUAAGCUGUUCACUCACUUGCAAAUAUACAACUUGGUAAGCUGGCUGGAACAAGUGCAGGAAAUUUCUCAAUCAGGAGUGGGUGGUUCUGAUCAUUCUUGGAAGACUGGCUUUCCUCCAAUUCCUCCAUCUGUGGAAGGCUGUCAUUUCUUGUUAAGACUAUUAGAAAUCAGUACCUCUCGGUUGUCUUGAUCAAGGCUAGCUAGCAUAAACAAGGGGUCAGCAUGCAGGCCUAUUCGGCUGGGGCCGAAGUUAUUGGCACUCAUGGUUUCAGCAGGUGUAAUCAGCUUGAAUUGACUGCAGCACCAACAAAAAUCGACAUCUAAUCAAAAUGAUUUUGGCUUAUGGUUAUCAUGAUCGGUGGUUAGGCCUGCUGGUUGCUGCAUGACUUUAGCUGUUAGGUGGGUGUGAUGGUGCCACGGUUGCAGUCUUCUGCAACCUAUGGUAUUCUGCUAUGGCAGCUGCUUGCAUCUCCAUGAUUGAAAUAUUUCUUCCACAAGUGUACAUGAUGUUUGUUUUGACUUGAGUAAGACACUUGUUUUACCAUCAGAUUAUGUAUGACAGCUGCUCAAGGUUAAAAUUGGGAAAAUAAAAAUCAUUUUUCUUAUUUGUAUGGAA